GGGGGGUGCGAGCGUUGUCCGGAAUCACUGGGCGUAAAGGGCGCGUAGGUGGUCUGAUAAGGGUGUGGUGAAAGCCCGGGGCUCAACCCCGGGUCGGCCGUGCCGACUGUUGGACUAGAGUGCUGUAGGGGCAGGCGGAAUUCCGGGUGUAGCGGUGGAAUGCGUAGAGAUCCGGAGGAAGACCGGUGGCGAAGGCGGCCUGCUGGGCAGUUACUGACACUGAGGCGCGACAGCGUGGGGAGCAAACAGGAUUAGAUACCCUGGUAGUCCACGCCGUAAACGAUGGGUACUAGGUGCCUGGGGGAGCGACCCCUUGGGUGCCGGCGCUAACGCAGGAAGUACCCCGCCUGGGGAGUACGGCCGCAAGGCUG
rnacentral:rRNA from 1 species